GAUUAACGCUAGCGGCAGGCAUAAUACAUGCAAGUUGAACGGCAGCACAGGUAGCAAUACUGGGUGGCGAGUGGCGCACGGGUGCGUAACACGUAUGCAACCUACCCUAUACAGGCGAAUAACCUUUAGAAAUGAGGGCUAAUACGCCGUAGUAUUACAGAUGGGCAUCUAUUUGUAAUUAAAGAUUUAUUGGUAUAGGAUGGGCAUGCGUCCGCUUAGUUAGUUGGUAAGGUAACGGCUUACCAAGACGAUGAUGGGUAGGGGAUCUGAGAGGACUUACCACCACACUGGUACUGAGACACAGACCAGACUCCUACGGGGGGCAGCAGUAAAGAAUAUUGGGCAAUGGCCGCGAGGCUGACCCUGCCGUGCCGGGUGCAGGAAGACGGCCUUAUGAAUCGUAAUCUGCUUUUAUACGAAAAUAAUAGAGUGUACGCGUACAUUUAUGCAAGUAUCGUAUGAAUAAGCAGCGGCUAACUCCGUG
rnacentral:rRNA from 1 species